rnacentral:ncRNA from 1 species
CCUCCCGCUUUUCCUCCCUGAGCGGGUGCCUUAGUGUGUGACAGCAAAAAGGCUUCCCAACCCGGCCCACGGCCGGGUUCUUUUUU